UGGGGAAUAUUGGACAAUGGGCGCAAGCCUGAUCCAGCCAUGCCGCGUGAGUGAUGAAGGCCCUAGGGUUGUAAAGCUCUUUCACCGGUGAAGAUAAUGACGGUAACCGGAGAAGAAGCCCCGGCUAACUUCGUGCCAGCAGCCGCGGUAAUACGAAGGGGGCUAGCGUUGUUCGGAUUUACUGGCCGUAAAGCGCACGUAGGCGGACUAUUAAGUCAGGGGUGAAAUCCCGGGGCUCAACCCCGGAACUGCCUUUGAUACUGGUAGUCUUGAGUUCGAGAGAGGUGAGUGGAAUUCCGAGUGUAGGGGUGAAAUUCGUAGAUAUUCGGAGGAACACCAGUGGCGAAGGCGGCUCACUGGCUCGAUACUGACGCUGAGGUGCGAAAGCGUGGGGAGCAAACAGG
rnacentral:rRNA from 1 species